UACGUAGGUGGCAAGCGUUGUCCGGAAUUAUUGGGCGUAAAGCGCGCGCAGGCGGUCCUUUAAGUCUGAUGUGAAAGCCCACGGCUCAACCGUGGAGGGUCAUUGGAAACUGGGGGACUUGAGUGCAGAAGAGGAGAGUGGAAUUCCACGUGUAGCGGUGAAAUGCGUAGAGAUGUGGAGGAACACCAGUGGCGAAGGCGACUCUCCGGUCUGUAACUGACGCUGAGGCGCGAAAGCGUGGGGAGCGAACAGG
rnacentral:rRNA from 1 species